ensembl:snoRNA
UAAAGCCUGUGAUGAUAGAAGUUAUCCCUGUCUGAAAACUGUGUGGACUUCUGGUAACCUGAGGCUUGC